UUAAAAUUCAUACUAACAAAUUGCUGUCAUACUUUGAAAUCAAUGUUUUUAGUGCAAAGGCAGAGAGGGAAGGUGUGGUGGUAUUGGCAGCAAGAAGGCUGCAAUAAUAUGGGCCUGAAAUGAAGUACCGGAACAUUAUCAGUCAUUCAAGCUAUGAUAUCCUGGCAGAUCUACUUACUGAAAAGAAGACUCAGCAGAUCUUUUCAAGACACACUAGAUGGAGCGCGGAGAGACCGGACAGUUCCCACAGUGCUAGUUUUUCAGCACCCACACCCCAAACACAAAUUCAUA